UACGAAGGGGGCUAGCGUUGUUCGGAUUUAUUGGGCGUAAGAGCGUGUAGGCGGCCAAACAGGUCCACUGUGAAACUCGAGGCUCAACCUCGAGAGGUCGGUGGAAACCGUCUGGCUAGAGUCCGGAAGAGGAGAGUGGAAUUCCCGGUGUAGCGGUGAAAUGCGCAGAUAUCGGGAAGAACACCCGUGGCGAAGGCGGCUCUCUGGGACGGU
rnacentral:rRNA from 1 species